rnacentral:rRNA from 1 species
AGCUCCAAUAGCGUAUAUUAAAGUUGUUGCAGUUAAAAAGCUCGUAGUUGGAUUUCUGGUAGCAUGGGUCUGGCCCGCCUCUUUACGAGGUGAGCGUCGGACUUCCAUCUGCCAUCCUCGCGGCGAACGUUUCUGCCAUUCACUUGGUCGGAUUCGCGAACCGUGUCGUUUACUUUGAAAAAAUUAGAGUGUUUAAAGCAGGCUGUUGCUAUGAAUACAUUAGCAUGGAAUAAUAACUUAGGACUUCGGUUCUAUUUUGUUGGUUUUCUUGGAAUUGGAGUAAUGAUUGAUAGGGAUAGUUGGGGGUGCUAGUAUUGUGCGGCCAGAGGUGAAAUUCUUGGAUUCGCGCAAGACUAACUUAUGCGAAAGCAUUCACCAAGGAUGUCUUCUUUAAUCAAGA